rnacentral:lncRNA from 1 species
GGAUAAUCCACAACCUAUAAAACGCCUUAAGAAUUUCAAGAAGAGGGGUAAUCCACUCUCUCCAAGAAGAAUAAGACUCCAAUAUUGUAACAGAAGAAGUAUCAGUUUAGAGGAGGGUAAUCCGCAACCUCUAAAAAAUGCUAGUAUACCUUCAAGUAGAGAGGUAAUCCACACUCUACUAAGAAAGAACUAGCUCUGAUAUCUCAAGUUAGUGUAGUCUCGAUAAACUGUCACGGACACAAAAUACAGACUUGAA